rnacentral:ncRNA from 1 species
AGACCUCUGAUCGGGAAAGACUACCCGCCGAGUUUAAGCAUAUCACUAAGCGGAGGAGAAGAAACUAACCAGGAUUUCCCUAGUAACGGCGAGCGAACCGGAAAGAGCCCAGCUUGAAAAUCGAGGCGCUUCGCGCCUCGAGUUGUAGUCUGGAGAUGCAUCUUCUGCAACGCACCGGACCCAAGUCCCCUGGAAAGGGGCGUCAGAGAGGGUGACAACCCCGUCGAGUCCGGACCGUGCUGCUCCACGAAGUUGAAAUCUACGAGUCGGGCUGUUUGGGAAUGCAGCCCUAAGCGGGUGGUAAAUUCCAUCCAAGGCUAAAUAUUGGCAGGAGACCGAUAGCGAACAAGUACCGCGAGGGAAAGA